rnacentral:tRNA from 1 species
GAGAAAGAAGUAUAAUGGAGAUGCAGUUGGUUUGAAACCAACAUAAGGUGGUUCGAUUCCCCCCUUUCUUG